UUAAUAAAAACAACUUCAUCAUAUAUUCAUGUGAUAUAUACAGUACCAACAACAAAAAGAAAAAAGAAAAGAAGAUAAAUUAGGUAGAAAGAUCAAAAGUAAAAAAAGGGACAGGUAACUUCAGCUGUUAGGUUCAUUUGGUACUCUUGUACAUGUUGUCAAUCACGUCCUUGUAAAAUUUGAGCAUCUGGGGUCUUUUCUUCUUGAAUGUUGGAGUUAGAAGGUCUCGUUCCAUGUCAAAUGGAAGAGGAUCGAGGUGUACAGCUUUUAUGAACUCAAAGCCCUUCAGCUUCUUUUCUUUGCCAGUUUUUGCAAGCUCGCCAAUUAUGUACUCUUUCACUUUCGCAUUUUCACACAAGGAAGCAAAAUCCCCAGAUAUGCCAUUAUGUUCGGCCCAGUGUUCAAUUGCUCGCUCAUUUGGGUUAAUGACAGCAACAAGGAAAGACUCAAAACUGUUUCCGUAUAUCCAUAUCGAGUCAAUAACAGGAUUAUCGCCAUAGAUAUUCUCCAAAUUUUCAACGGCAACAUAUUCACCUUGUGAUAGCUUGAAAAUGUUCUUCUUGCGAUCAAUUAUUUUCAAGCUACCAUUAGGUUGCCACUCGCCAACAUCGCCUGUGUGGA
rnacentral:misc_RNA from 1 species